rnacentral:rRNA from 1 species
GACGAACGCGGGCGGCGCGCUUAACACAUGCAAGUCGAACGGAAAGGCCUGCUUUCCCUUGUGGAUUGCGGGUACUCGAGUGGCGAACGGGUGAGUAACACGUGAGUGAUCUGCCCCCAACUUGGGUAUAAGCCUGGGAAACUGGGUCUAAUUCCCGAUAGGACUGCAGGGUGGUGCCUGUGGUGGAAAACGAUUUUCUAGUGGUUGGGGAUGAGCUCGCGGCCUAUCAGCUUGUUGGUGGGGUAAUGGCCUACCAAGGCGGCGACGGGUAGCCGGCCUGAGAGGGUGGACGGCCACAUUGGGACUGAGAUACGGCCCAGACUCCUACGGGAGGCAGCAGUGGGGAAUAUUGCACAAUGGGCGGAAGCCUGAUGCAGCGACGCCGCGUGGGGGAUGACGGCCUUCGGGUUGUAAACUCCUUUCGACCGCGAGGAAGCCACCUGGUUGGAAGGGUGGUGACGGUAGUGGUAGAAGAAGCACCGGCUAACUACGUG